CGGGAUGUAGCACGAACUUGGUAGUGCACCUGGUUUGGGACCAGGGGGUCGCAGGUUCGAAUCCUGUCAUCCCGACCA
rnacentral:tRNA from 1 species